GGGGGAGUAUGGUCGCAAGGCUGAAACUUAAAGGAAUUGACGGAAGGGCACCACCAGGAGUGGAGCCUACGGCUUAAUUUGACUCAACACGGGGAAACUUACCAGGUCCAGACAUAGUAAGGAUUGACAAACUGAAAGCUCUUUCUUGAUUUUAUGGGUGGUGGUGCAUGGCCGUUCUUAGUUGGUGGAGUGAUUUGUCUGGUUAAUUCUGUUAACGAACGAGACCUCAGCCUGCUAACUAGCUACCCGGAGGUGAUCCUCCGUGGCUAGCUUCUUAGAUGGACUAUGGCCUUUUAGGCCAAGGAAGUUUGAGGCAAUAACAGGUCUGUGAUGCCCUUAGAUGUUCUGGGCUGCACGCACGCAACGCUGAUGUAUUCAACGAGUCUAUAGCCUUGGCUGACAGUCCCUGUAAUCUUUGAAAUUUCAUCGUGAUGGGGAUAGAUCAUUGCAAUUGUUGGUCUUCAACGAGGAAUUCCUAGUAAGCGUGAGUCAUCAGCUUGCGUUGACUACGUCCCUGCCCUUUGUACACACCGCCCGUCGCUCCUACCGAUUGAAUGGUCCGGUGAAAUGUUCGGAUCAAGGCGAUGUGGGCGGUUCACUGCCCGCAACGUCUCAAGAAAUCCACUGAACCUUAUCAUUUAAAGGAAUGAGAAGUCGUAACAUGGUUUCCGUAGGUGAACCUGCUGAAG
rnacentral:ncRNA from 1 species